rnacentral:rRNA from 1 species
GACGAACGCUGGCGGCAUGCCUAACACAUGCAAGUCGAACGAUACCUCCGGGCGUAGGGGCGCACGGGUGCGUAAGGCGUUGGAACCUGCCCUUAGGUUCCGAAUAACUCCCCGAAAGGGGUGCUAAUACCGGAUAAUCUCUUCGGACCAAAGAUCUAUCGCCUUUGGAUGGGGCCGGGUUUGAUUCGCUGGUGGGUAGGGUAAAAGCCUACCAAGGCGACGAUCCGUAGCUGGUCUGAGAGGAUGAUCAGCCACACUGGGAAUGAGACACGGCCCAGACUGCUACGGAGCGGAGCAGAAGGGUGCACUGGAGACUGGGCGAAGGCCUGAUCACGCAAUGUCGGGUAAGUGAUGAAGGCGGUAGGAAAGUAAAGUUCUUUUAGACGGGGUGAUAAUGACAGUACCGGGAGAAUAAGCACCGGCUAACUACGUG